UCUCAGGCAUCUGAGCGUUGGCAGUACCCU
rnacentral:piRNA from 1 species